UGGGGAAUAUUGGACAAUGGGCGCAAGCCUGAUCCAGCCAUGCCGCGUGAGUGAUGAAGGCCCUAGGGUUGUAAAGCUCUUUCACCGGAGAAGAUAAUGACGGUAUCCGGAGAAGAAGCCCCGGCUAACUUCGUGCCAGCAGCCGCGGUAAUACGAAGGGGGCUAGCGUUGUUCGGAAUUACUGGGCGUAAAGCGCACGUAGGCGGAUAUUUAAGUCAGGGGUGAAAUCCCAGAGCUCAACUCUGGAACUGCCUUUGAUACUGGGUAUCUCGAGUAUGGAAGAGGUGAGUGGAAUUCCGAGUGUAGAGGUGAAAUUCGUAGAUAUUCGGAGGAACACCAGUGGCGAAGGCGGCUCACUGGUCCAUUACUGACGCUGAGGUGCGAAAGCGUGGGGAGCAAACA
rnacentral:rRNA from 1 species